AUGGCCCCCAAGCGCGCCGCGAAGAAGGCGGCACCCCCGCCUCCGCCUCCGCCUCCGGCUGCCUCCUCUGAGGAGAGCGAAUCCCGCUCGCGCUCCGAGGAGUCGGAGGGCGAAGACGCCGAGUCCCCUCCCCCCGCCCCCACCCCGGCCCCCAAUAGCACGCCGGCGCCCCCGCAGGAGGGAGAGGAGGAGGAGGAGGAGUCUGAAGAGGAAGACGAGGAGGAGUCUGAUGAGGAGCCCGCCCACGCGGCCCCAGCCGCCGCCGCCACCCCCAAGAACAAGCCUCCGCCGCCGCAACAGGGAGGUGACUCCGAUUCUUCUUCCGACGAGGAGGAGGAGGAGCCCACCAAGGCGGCCCCUCCCUCCGCCCUGAAGAAACAACCCCCGCCGCCGCCGCCGCCGCGGCAGAGCGAGGAAUCGGACGCCUCCGACGAGGAAGAAGAGGAGGGUGAGUCCGAGGAGGAGGCGCCGCCGCCGCCGCCGCCGAAGCUUGCUCCAAAGCAGGCGCCAGAGGGCCGGAAGCCCCAGGCAGCGGCGGAGACCAAGAAGCCGGCCGCUUUCAACCGCAUCUGGUCCACCGACGACGAGGUGCGUAUCCUCGAGGCCCUUGCUGCUCACCAAAAGCAGCACGGCACGCUGCCGCAGCCGGACGCCCUCGUGGACGCCCUUGCAGGAAAGCUCGACAACCGUGCCUACGGCAGCAAGGAGCUCCAGGGGAAGGUCUUGGCCCUGAGGCGUCGGUACCUCCUUCUCAGCAAGAAGGGCGAGCCCCCGAGCAAGGAGCAUGACCGCCGGGUGCUGGAACUUUCCAAGAUGGUCUGGGAAGGCGGUGACACGGCCGCAGCUGCCCCUGCGAAGGCGGCAAAUGGCCAGGAGCCAAAGGGGUUCGAGGAGAUGUGCGAGCUGUAUCCGUACCUGGCGGAGCAGGUGAGGGAGCUGGAUGCGGCGAACCCGGGCAUCUUCAAGAGGCAGUUCGGGAUGAUGGACGACGACAAGGCGCGCGCGAUGGACGAGAAGAUCAAGAGGCAGAGGGUGGCGCAGAUGAAGGUGGAGCUGCGCCGCCACGACCUGGCCAGGGAGGUGACCAAGGCGAUCAUCGACCUGGUCGACUGA
rnacentral:rRNA from 1 species